rnacentral:rRNA from 1 species
CAGCAGCCGCGGUAAUACCCGCGGCCCGAGUGGUGGUCGAUUUUAUUGAGCCUAAAACGUCCGUAGCCGGCCUGGUAAAUCCUUGGGUAAAUCGGGCAGCUUAACUGUCCGAAGUCCGGGGAGACUGCCAGGCUUGGGACCGGGAGAGGUCAGAGGUACUUCCGGGGUAGGGGUAAAAUCCUGUAAUCCUGGAAGGACCACCGGUGGCGAAGGCGUCUGACUAGAACGGAUCCGACGGUGAGGGACGAAGCCCUGGGGCGCAAACGGGAUUAGAUACCCCGGUAGUCCAGGGUGUAAACGCUGCGGGCUUGGUGUUGGGAGUCCUCUGAGGGCGCCCAGUGCCGGAGAGAAGUGGUUAAGCCUGCUGCUUGGGGAGUACGUCCGCAAGGAUGAAACUUAAAGGAAUUGGCGGG